GGGGGUGCAGCUCCUCCCAGGCUGCUCUCGCGAUGUGCUGUAAAAGUUUCUUAUAUAGCGCUGCAAAUUCCGUUGCGCUUUACAACUGGACACAAUUAGGAGACAAAACCGGGUCAAAACAAACAGUCUUGCAUUUUCCCGAUGAUGUGAUCUCCUCCAUGAAUAGUAAAUAACUGAAGAUGCCAUUUGCCUUAGAGGAUACAGUUCUUCUGAGGUUAAAUAUUGUGAGAAACCAACAUACAGGUAAGACUCUCAUUGCAGAGCCAGAGCAAGAGACAACUGGGGCCCCAGCCCACCUGCCAAAACCCCAACCCCGCCACAACCCCUCUCAAAGAAACAGCAGCGCAAGGGAAAACAAGCAGCAGAAGACGAUUUGCUGUCACAAGCUGAGCUGGCACUGAGGAGGCCCCACCUGACCACCAGGAUAAAUUCGGUACCUAUCUGGCUUAUGGGCCGUGCCAGAUGGAUGCAGAAAAACAACUGGAGUUCGAACGAAUAGCAAGUGAACUGUUAUUCCAAGGGUGGAAAGGGCGGCUUACGUUGCACACAAAACUAGUGGGCCUUGCACACACCGAGGUUGUACCUGUAGUGACAGUGGAGCAAACUCCACCAUCCUCCUGUCCGAGGACCUCCUCACCCCUUGAUCCAAUGCCCUCCUUACCACCCCCCUCCUCAUACCUCGCUCCACCAACCUGCUUAACAGUCCCUUCCUCAUAUCCACCAGCAACCUGUCCAGAAUCCUCCUCGCAACCUGCUCCCCCAGCAUCCUCCUUGCAACCUGCUCCCCCACCCAGCUACAGGCACCUGUAUACGUCCUUACUUGGGGAUUAUCAGGAGUCUCCUCUGUUUGAAAAUAUUUAAUAAAGUGUUCCCCAGUUUUAUCAUCCACGUAGGUAUGGAGGGGUAUGAUAUACGCUGUUUUUGGCGCAGACAGUCCAAGGUCCAUGCACACGUGCUGCAUUGUGCAGAUUAGUGGGGAUGGGGCCAUUGCCUUUUCACUAUGCACCACAUGUGCAUGAACCUUUGCAUAUCUGCGCCAGAAACACCGUCUAUCAUACCGGUCCAUACCUAUUGCGAAAGGUAAAAUUGGAUUAUACUAAAUUUUAACAAUGUUUUAUAUAUGUUUGUACAGUUUCUGUCUUUUAUAAAGAAAGAAAGAAAGAAAGAAAGAAAGAAAGAAAGAAAGAAAGAAAAAAAUUCCUAGUGUGUUAAACAAUCAAACCAAAAAAACCACA